CCUGCGGCGGAAUGUUGCGUAAAGGGAAAGGUCGUAGUCAAACCCCACAGCCACGCGAACUCUAAGUCAGCCACGAAUAGGCUAUCCCAACUAACGGCGGGAAAGACUCCACGGAGGGUGUAAGACCCGUGUGGGCGCGUGUUAAAGCUGUGCGGGCUCGGCCUCUAUUCCCUGAGAGUCGCGUUGCUUGAGCAUGCAGCGCUAAGCAGGUCGUAAACUCGAUCUAAGGCUAAAUAUCUCCACAGAACCGAUAGCGAACAAGUACCGUGAGGGAAAGUUGAAAAGCACUCUGGAGAGAGAGUCAAAAGACCGUGAAACCGCUCAGAGUAUAAGCCCAUGGCAGCUUGGAAGGCAUAUCGAAAGCGGGGCAUCGGUCUGCCUUCGCGGGUGGUCGGUGUUACCUUGCUUCUGUUGUGGCUCGUCAUGGUAGGGGGGUCAGGUCCACAUCCCGCCGUCGUGUGGGGGGUUCUUGGGUGUGUUGUGGUUUUUCGGUUGGCUUCGGCUGGCCGGAGGGCCCUUCGUGCUC
rnacentral:rRNA from 1 species